rnacentral:rRNA from 1 species
UACCUGCAGCUCAAGUGGUAACCGCUAUUAUUGGGCCUAAAGCGUCCGUAGCCGGUUUGGUAAAUAUCUGGGUAAAUCGUGAGGCUUAACUUCACGAAUUUCGGAUAGACUGCCAGACUUGGGAUCGGGGGAGGUCAGAGGUACUCCAGGGGUAGCGGUGAAAUGUUGUAAUCCUUGGAGGACCACCGGUAGCGAAGGCGUCUGACUAGAACGAGUCCGACGGUGAGGGACGAAGCCCUGGGGCGCAAACCGGAUUAGAUACCCGGGUAGUCCAGGGUGUAAACGAUGUGGGCUUUGUAUUGGAGGUCCCACGUGGGCGUCCAGUGCAGAAGAGAAGUUGUCAAGCCCACCGCCUGGGAAGUACGGUCGCAAGGCUGAAACUUAAAGGAAUUGGCGGGGGGCACAGCAACGGGAGGAGCGGUGCGGUUU